AAAAGAAUGAUUGGGACUUCAGUGAAUCUCAGUUCUGGAUUUUAUUCUUUCAAUUAACUGAGGAUGUUGUUUUUCUGCCGUGUUUUCACCCAAUUCUGUUCUUUCAGGAGUUUCUUUUUGGUGGGUCUGUUU